CUGAGUAACCGUUGAAUAAGAAAUCUAUUGUCUAUAAAAUCCUCGAUUAUAUAAACAUCAGAUUAUUUGGGAAAAAUCCGCAAAACACAAAAGACUGCAAGAGGCCUUGUCAUCAAAACAAGCCUAGUACUGAAUAGUGCACAUCGAACAAGAUUAUUGUGUUAAUCGCAAUUAAAGAUCCGAUAAAUAAACAUCCGAGCAUUUGGAACAAAACUAUUAAAGAAUACCAGAGCUACGAUGGACAAAAGCAGUACCAAGUUACUUUUAGAAAAUAAUGGUUGCUUUGUAUUUAAGCUCGACAGAAGAUUGAGAAUAAGUAGAGAAAUAAAUUUUAAAGCAGCA